CCAUGAGUCACUGCUGCUCAGUCCACAAUUGCCAAGAUGGGAAGUCAGCCCAAGUGCCCAUCUACACAUGAAUGGAUUAA